rnacentral:rRNA from 2 species
AUAGGGUCAAGUGAAUAAGUGCAUCAGGCGGAUGCCUUGGCGAUGAUAGGCGACGAAGGACGUGUAAGCCUGCGAAAAGCGCGGGGGAGCUGGCAAUAAAGCUAUGAUUCCGCGAUGUCCGAAUGGGGAAACCCACUGCAUUCUGUGCAGUAUCCUAAGUUGAAUACAUAGGCUUAGAGAAGCGAACCCGGAGAACUGAACCAUCUAAGUACCCGGAGGAAAAGAAAUCAACCGAGAUUCCGCAAGUAGUGGCGAGCGAACGCGGAGGAGCCUGUACGUAAUAACUGUCGAGAUAGAAGAACAAGCUGGGAAGCUUGACCAUAGCGGGUGACAGUCCCGUAUUCGAAAUCUCAACAGCGGUACUAAGCGUACGAAAAGUAGGGCGGGACACGUGAAAUCCUGUCUGAAUAUGGGGGGACCAUCCUCCAAGGCUAAAUACUCAUCAUCGACCGAUAGUGAACCAGUACCGUGAGGGAAAGGCGAAAAGAACCCCGGGAGGGGAGUGAAACAGAACCUGAAACCUGAUGCAUACAAACAGUGGGAGCGCCCUAGUGGUGUGACUGCGUACCUUUUGUAUAAUGGGUCAACGACUUACAUUCAGUAGCGAGCUUAACCGGAUAGGGGAGGCGUAGGGAAACCGAGUCUUAAUAGGGCGAUGAGUUGCUGGGUGUAGACCCGAAACCGAGUGAUCUAUCCAUGGCCAGGUUGAAGGUGCCGUAACAGGUACUGGAGGACCGAACCCACGCAUGUUGCAAAAUGCGGGGAUGAGCUGUGGGUAGGGGUGAAAGGCUAAACAAACUCGGAGAUAGCUGGUUCUCCCCGAAAACUAUUUAGGUAGUGCCUCGAGCAAGACACUGAUGGGGGUAAAGCACUGUUAUGGCUAGGGGGUUAUUGCAACUUACCAACCCAUGGCAAACUCAGAAUACCAUCAAGUGGUUCCUCGGGAGACAGACAGCGGGUGCUAACGUCCGUUGUCAAGAGGGAAACAACCCAGACCGCCGGCUAAGGUCCCAAAUGAUAGAUUAAGUGGUAAACGAAGUGGGAAGGCACAGACAGCCAGGAUGUUGGCUUAGAAGCAGCCAUCAUUUAAAGAAAGCGUAAUAGCUCACUGGUCGAGUCGUCCUGCGCGGAAGAUGUAACGGGGCUCAAAUCUAUAACCGAAGCUGCGGAUGCCGGUUUACCGGCAUGGUAGGGGAGCGUUCUGUAGGCUGAUGAAGGUGCAUUGUAAAGUGUGCUGGAGGUAUCAGAAGUGCGAAUGUUGACAUGAGUAGCGAUAAAGCGGGUGAAAAGCCCGCUCGCCGAAAGCCCAAGGUUUCCUACGCAACGUUCAUCGGCGUAGGGUAAGUCGGCCCCUAAGGCGAGGCAGAAAUGCGUAGUCGAUGGGAAACAGGUUAAUAUUCCUGUACUUGAUUCAAAUGCGAUGUGGGGACGGAGAAGGUUAGGUUGGCAAGCUGUUGGAAUAGCUUGUUUAAGCCGGUAGGUGGAAGACUUAGGCAAAUCCGGGUUUUCUUAACACCGAGAAGUGAUGACGAGUGUCUACGGACACGAAGCAACCGAUACCACGCUUCCAGGAAAAGCCACUAAGCUUCAGUUUGAAUCGAACCGUACCGCAAACCGACACAGGUGGGCAGGAUGAGAAUUCUAAGGCGCUUGAGAGAACUCGGGAGAAGGAACUCGGCAAAUUGAUACCGUAACUUCGGGAGAAGGUAUGCCCUCUAAGGUUAAGGACUUGCUCCGUAAGCCCCGGAGGGUCGCAGAGAAUAGGUGGCUGCGACUGUUUAUUAAAAACACAGCACUCUGCCAACACGAAAGUGGACGUAUAGGGUGUGACGCCUGCCCGGUGCCGGAAGGUUAAUUGAAGAUGUGCAAGCAUCGGAUCGAAGCCCCGGUAAACGGCGGCCGUAACUAUAACGGUCCUAAGGUAGCGAAAUUCCUUGUCGGGUAAGUUCCGACCCGCACGAAUGGCGUAACGAUGGCCACACUGUCUCCUCCCGAGACUCAGCGAAGUUGAAGUGGUUGUGAAGAUGCAAUCUACCCGCUGCUAGACGGAGAGACCCCGUGAACCUUUACUGUAGCUUUGCAUUGGACUUUGAAGUCACUUGUGUAGGAUAGGUGGGAGGCUUGGAAGCAGAGACGCCAGUCUCUGUGGAGUCGUCCUUGAAAUACCACCCUGGUGUCUUUGAGGUUCUAACCCAGACCCGUCAUCCGGGUCGGGGACCGUGCAUGGUAGGCAGUUUGACUGGGGCGGUCUCCUCCCAAAGCGUAACGGAGGAGUUCGAAGGUUACCUAGGUCCGGUCGGAAAUCGGACUGAUAGUGCAAUGGCAAAAGGUAGCUUAACUGCGAGACCGACAAGUCGGGCAGGUGCGAAAGCAGGACAUAGUGAUCCGGUGGUUCUGUAUGGAAGGGCCAUCGCUCAACGGAUAAAAGGUACUCCGGGGAUAACAGGCUGAUUCCGCCCAAGAGUUCAUAUCGACGGCGGAGUUUGGCACCUCGAUGUCGGCUCAUCACAUCCUGGGGCUGUAGUCGGUCCCAAGGGUAUGGCUGUUCGCCAUUUAAAGUGGUACGUGAGCUGGGUUUAAAACGUCGUGAGACAGUUUGGUCCCUAUCUGCAGUGGGCGUUGGAAGUUUGACGGGGGCUGCUCCUAGUACGAGAGGACCGGAGUGGACGAACCUCUGGUGUACCGGUUGUAACGCCAGUUGCAUAGCCGGGUAGCUAAGUUCGGAAGAGAUAAGCGCUGAAAGCAUCUAAGCGCGAAACUCGCCUGAAGAUGAGACUUCCCUUGCGGUUUAACCGCACUAAAGGGUCGUUCGAGACCAGGACGUUGAUAGGUGGGGUGUGGAAGCGCGGUAACGCGUGAAGCUAACCCAUACUAAUUGCCCGUGAGGCUUGACUCUAU